rnacentral:rRNA from 1 species
GCUAAACGCGAAGAACCUUACCUGGCCUUGACAUCCAUGGAAUCCCGAAGAGAUUUGGGAGUGCCGCAAGGAACCAUGAGACAGGUGCUGCAUGGCUGUCGUCAGCUCGUGUCGUGAGAUGUUGGGUUAAGUCCCGCAACGAGCGCAACCCUUGUCCUUAGUUGCCAUCAUUAAGUUGGGAACUCUAAGGAGACCGCCGGUGACAAACCGGAGGAAGGUGGGGAUGACGUCAAGUCAUCAUGGCCUUUAUGGCCAGGGCUACACACGUGCUACAAUGGCAGGUACAGAGGGAAGCCAACCGGCGACGGGGAGCUAAUCCCACGAAAGCCUGUCUUAGUCCGGAUUGCAGUCUGCAACUCGACUGCAUGAAGUUGGAAUCGCUAGUAAUCGCAGAUCAGCAUUGCUGCGGUGAAUACGUUCCCGGGUCUUGUACAC